AAGCUCUGGUUUCUCUUAAGUCAUGCAUGAAUCUUUUGCCUUUCAUUAAAGAUUUCUGGAGUGGAGUGUCAAUGAGUUUGAUGUAUUUUUGUGAGCAUUGCUCUGGCAAAGCU